UAGAAGGAGGGGGGAUCAAUACUCUUCCUUUCGUGUUUUGAUAUCUUGUUGUUUUGCUACUCUCACUUCGGAGUUCGGAUGGUGUCUAGCAACGUUGGGUACCUCGUUUCUUGUGUGUGUGAGCGAGUGGUUGCUGUUUACGAUGUGUUCAUAUAUCGCUUUGUAGUGCUGUAAUGUGCAAAUUAGCGGACUUUAUAGCGGCUCUCUAUUUUCCGUCGUUGUCUUUCGAGCAGCGCCUGUUGUUCCGGUAAAAAUCGAGUUGAAUGAAUCGCCACAGCCCCAACGUAUAUCGCGCAGUGUUGACCAAGUCAAGCAGGAAUUCUGGCAUGGUAUGUGGCUGCACGAAGGAUUCCGAAAAAGAAAAACAACAACAUGGCUAAUAGGAUGUUGCUGCCCAGGGAGUCCUGGCGAAGAGGUUUACUCAUUCCAGAAGCAAGAAUUGUAUCAUUGUAAGGCGAAUGGAAAUAAACUGACAUCGACUGA